rnacentral:lncRNA from 1 species
UUUUCAGAAUUGACUGAAAGCUGCUGAGAAAGCUCUUCCUUGCUUCUUAGUUCUUAAAAGGGCUUUGACACACUGGCAAGAGUCCAGUGUUUGGAACUUUGGGUUCUAAGUGAGGAGGGAGCGGCUACAUUUACAUGUCCUGGCAAUUCCUCUUUUUGCUACUUUUUGGAGUUGUUCUCUGGAAAAUUUCCUGAUAUUGCCAGGAAGCUGCCACUUUGAAGGAUUUCAUCUCUGAAAGAGAAAGACUAGGAGGUGAGACCUUGGGAGGCCAAGUGCUGUCCGUGGCUGAGCUGGAGAGUACCUGUGUUGAGCGUGUCAUUCAUCUUAAAGUGAUUGACCAUUUAUGGGGAUGGUGAGAAGGAGAAGAGCAUAAAGCAGAUCAAUAGAAAGAAGGCAGAAAAUGGAGAAACAGGAAGAAGGAGACUGAGUUGGGGGAGUACUGGGAGAGCAAUGGAUUUGAGGAAAAGAUGAAGAUGAUAAGAUUAUGUGUGAUGGUAAAACAAGGUAAAUACCCAGUGUGGAGAGAAGAGUUUCUCAGCUGGCCAGUGAACCCAAGACUUAUGAAGUUACUGUGAUCAAAAAUAAAGUCAUUUGAACUCUGAUAGAGAAAAGAUAC